CUUGCCCCCACCACACUCCUCCUCUCAGAAAGGAAUCCACUGCAACAUUGCUGAGAAAUCAACUGCAACAUGGGCCUGUUACACAAAGUCACCCCUCAAGAAGCUCCUGGCCGGAAGGGACCCAGGCCGGGACUCUAGAGCCCUGGAUGCCCCAAUGGAAGAAUACCCAGCGAAAGGCUGGGGUCUGAACAACCAUAGGGAAGCUUCCAGAAGCCACACAGCGCCCUUCUUGCCCAGCAACAACAAAAUCAACACACUGAGGCUGCAGGGUGAGUACACUCCUGAAUUCAGAUCCAGGAAGCUCCAGCACUGCUGGGAACGGGACUGGUGGGAGUCACCCGGGAGCAAAGACUAGAGACAUCAGCUCCCUGCAGCGGACCUGCGGUCUCUGGCUGGCGCUGGGUCCCAGGUGACCUGGUGCCAAACCCUAACCGGCUACCUUCCCCCACCGGCCACUGCUGCAGGACGCACAGCAGGACCCAGUCUUCUGGCCAGUCUUCCCUGCGCCCUCCUUCCUCUGAGCAGCUCACCCAUUUGUCCGGCGUGGGCUCCCAUCCCAGCUUCCUCGCACCCCGCCCCGCUGGGGAACUGGGCCUGCACUGUUUCAGGAUCCGCUUACCCAGCAGAACAGCGCCUUCCCCCUGCCGCCCAGACACACAACAAAGGCGAGAUCCAAGUUCCGCUCAGCUCAGCUCAGCCAUCUACAAAUACCCUGCACGCAUGCCACCUGCUGUCCGCCACAUGUCGUCCCUGCGGCCUGGGAGGUGACAGUUCCAUUUCAAAGAUGAGACACCGAAGCUCAGAAAAACAAAGCCGAAAUCCCAGCCAACCCGGAGCGUGUAUAAGGCAAGGCUGGCCUUGUGCCCCUAAUACUGUGACUUUGGGUUCAGACUAACUCCCACCAUACUUCCAAAGAAGAUUCUAUCUGUGGCUUUCCAAGCGUUAGCAACACAAGCCAUCAUCUCAUCUUGUGGUUGGUGUGCUGAAUGGGUAUGCUGCUGCAUGUCAAAAUUCAGAGUCAAACGUACUUGUCUCUCAGAAAACCAGCUAGCAUUAGCUGUUUGUGUGUUUUUUUAAAUAUGAUUUAUUUGAGAGGCAGACGGACAGACAGAUGACAGAGCUGCAAUGUGCUGGCUCACUUUCCAAAUGCCCCCAACAACUGAGUCUGCAACCAGAAGACAGAAAUUCAAUCCAGGUCUCUGCCGUGGGUGGCGGGCAUCUGGUUACUUGAGCCGUCAUCCCUGCCUUCCAUCAAGGAGCUGGAGUCAUCGGGCCAGAGCCAGGGAUGGUACCCUGGUACCCCGGCACGGGAGGCAGGUGUGGUCACUGGCAUCCUAAGCACUAAAUAAAAAUCCGCUCCUCAUUAGCUAUUUGCUUCUUAACAAUAAAACCAGUUUUUCCUGA